rnacentral:lncRNA from 1 species
CUUUAAUGAGGUUACUAAGGCCAAGUGACUUGCCCUGGGUCACAGAGCUGGGUUAAGCCAUGCUUUCUCCCUGCCCCCUAGUGAUGGUCCUUAAACACAGAUCCAAGCUCUACUGUAAACAUCUAUUCCCUAGAUUGGGGUGACCCUUGGUCACAGGCCCUGUAUUAGCAAUGCUGACAUUCCUCGCCAGCACACAGGAAGAUAAGAGGUACCAAUUACUGAACACCUAGAACGUGCCAGGUAUUCUCACUCAGCAUGUGACUUAAUCUUCACAACAACCCUCAGGAGUAGGUUAUAUCAUCUUCUUUGCAGAUGAUAAAGUAAGACCCAAAAGAUCAAGUCACUUUCCCAAAGUCACUAGCUGUUCCAAGAGCCAGUAAGAAAGACUUGGGAUGAUCUUCUAGCUCUAGGGACUGUCUUCUCUCCAUUGUGCCAUCAUGGCUUUUAACCUUCAAAUUAUCUUUGGGUCCUUCCUACCACUCACCUCCCCUUUCCAAAUACCCCCACUACCCUGCCCAGCACCCUCAUAAUGCAUAUACACACCAGCCAGAAGGAAAUUACACCUUUAAAAAAAAACAGGAAAAAUCUUCGGAACCUUAAUGUUUGGUUGAGUCUUUAAAUUCAGCAAAACACUUCAGGAUUUCCUGUCUCGGAACAGACUGCUGCUGUUAAACAUUAAGGAAGGGCCAGUCUUGUAUGAGAUGAAAUACCUAGUAAUCCCCAAAGCAAUGAACCCCAGCAGGAACUUACAUUGUAAAACAGACCAAAUAAUGAGAAACACAUUUCUGUUCCCGACCAGCACAAAGAGAGAGGAGAAAAGAAGAUGUGGUCUUUAUUCUGAGCAGUUGGGUUGCUGGAAAGACAUCGUCCGUCAAAACACUGGACAGAAAGAUAGAGCAAAGACGUGAUGCUUUCCUGACCACUGGUAAGACGUUUAUCUAGAUUUGUUCUCUGAAGGACUGGUACCAGGAAACGUGUAACAGCUACUCUGCACCCAUCAGCUUCUCCAUGAAGGACUUCAAAGAACAGAUGAGAUUGGGCAUCAUCAGAACUGACAGGAUAAUAUCACAGCAUUUGUGUUGUUAUCCAUGGGCGCGUUGCUGUGAGGAGGCCAACUGGAAAAGCCAUAACAUGUUUUUCCCAGUCACCACAAGGCUGUAGAAGGUUUUAAGUUCUAGAUGAGCCAACUCUAUCAUUUACCUGACCCCAGAGCAUGAGCGCCUGCUCUGACGAUGCAUGAUUGCCCAAGUUGAAACUAAACUUGUGUGGAAUAAAGAAAACUUCUAAACCAAAAUGAAGAAGUAAAUGAUACUAUUAACUGUGAAAAACGGAAGAAAUUCUGUGAAAUCAUAAACCACAUCCCAUAAGCUUUUCAACUGGCCCAUAUACUAGUUGCAUGCAUACGUGGCUAUAAUUAUUGCCAAAAAAAAAUAGCAAUACACG